GACCGCGUAGCUCAGUUAGCAGAGCAUUGGGCUAGUAUUCCAAAGGUUGUAGGUUCGAUUCCCACCGUGGCCA
rnacentral:tRNA from 1 species